AUUCAGUCAGCGGGAGUGUAUAUAAAGGCGUGCGUGAUCUCGGUUAAAGCAUAACACAUUUUUUGUGCAGAUCUAUUCUUUGUUUUCACUUUAAUCCUCAAAAAACAACCAAAAACCAAAAAUGGGCGCUGAAAAAGUAACCAUGAACAUCGUCGUCGUAGGACAAGUCCAAUCUGCCAAGGCCAUCAAGACCGUCGCCAAGGCCUCCCCAGCCACCAACCAAUUGAUGAACUGUUAAAUCAUGUAAUCCAUACAUUGCAAAACCCAAAAAUGCCAUAGCCCAAACAGUAUAAUAAUAUGUAAUUCAUAUUAUAUUGACACCGCAAAAUAAAUCAGUAAUUUCCGAUGAAUUUAA